CCUGCCGCAGAGGUGUUGCAGGUGUGGCUGCUGUGUCACAUGUGCAGCAGUAGGUGGCACAAUGAUGAGUAGCCUACCAUUUCCUGAAAAAACUGAGCCUGGGACU
rnacentral:snoRNA from 1 species